rnacentral:sRNA from 1 species
UUAAUAGAUAAAGAGAAAUCCGGAUUACAAAAAGACUAGAACACAAGGUCUGCGGAAUAAAACUAGGUAAAAACUUCUUUUUGCGAAAAUGUGAAGUACAUGCUACUUAUAGUCAAAUAUCCCAAAACCCUAAUACUCAAAACGACGAAGUAUUGGGACGGAUAAAGAACUGUACUCGACCCAUGUGGUCGAAUGGGAGGUCGAGUGAGUAGUUGGAGUCUUCUUUCCUUUCCUGUGCUCGAGUGUCUGGUUGAGUGCGGAAUGAAGAAGGCUCUGAAGCUUGUCAUCGAGUAUGCAGUCGAGUGGUGUGAUGGUGAUACUCGACUUCCAGGUAGAGUGAUGAGGUCGAGUAGUGGUCUGGCAAUGAAGGUGAAGACACUCGACCUCGUGGUCGAGUGAAGUGAUCGAGUGUUUGUCAGGAGAUACUCGACUUCCAGGUUGAGUGACGAGGUCGAGUGGUUGUCUGAUGAUGGAGGUGAAGACACUCGACCUCAUGGUCGAGUGAUGUGAUCGAGUGAUGGAGAUGAGGGCACCCGACCUCGUGGUCGAGUGGUGAAGUGAAGUGGUGAUGUCCUCUACUCGACCUGGGGGUCGAGUGGUCUCUUGAGAUCUUGAAGCUCCUACUCGACCUCUGGUAGAGUGGUUUGUCAUGAUCAUGUCCGCUUCUUCCAGAUAGCUCGUCAACAGCUCCAAAUCACCUAAAAUCAACGCAAAUAUGCAACAUGCAUGCAAAACUAUCCUAAACAUGUAAAGUGAUGACAAAUGAUGUGAAAU